UGUUACAUUGUCAAUCUGCAGACAUCCUAUGUGCCUCCAUGGGAAGCUGGCAGAGUAAAGAUGGAAAUGAAUAGAAGGUUAGUAUAUGAGGUAAGUAUUUGUAAAGGUGAAUCAGGCUCCAAACAUAUGUGGUUAAUUGGCUUAAUUAAACUUUGUGCUUUGGGAUUUGCAGUCCUGAAAACAGCAGCAAAUGUUUGUGUUGAUUUAGUGUCAUUGGGUGUGAUUGGGCGGAUGUUUGGGUGGGUGGGUAUGGUGAAGUGUGGUGAUACUCCAUACUUCAUCAUGCUUCUUCCCAGUGAACCUGCCGCCUGAACAGAAGCUGUUGGAGGCUCCAUGUGGAUCAGAGGAGACACUUGGCUGUCUGCACAGCAGCCUGGAUGGAUCGGACAUUUGCUGCUAUUUUCUUUCACUCCAAAUUCACACACAAAACACAAUGCGUCAUCUCUUCCGUGUUCCCAGAUGUUUUCAGUCUAAUUCACCUAUACCUCUUUUUGGGUUUUCUCCGGGUACUACGGUUCGCCCACACUUAUUAUGCUUACCUUAAAAAAACAAAAAACAAAAAAAAAAACAGGUUUUUGUUGUACAGAGACAGAAACCUCUGAUUCCAGGACGUUGCUAGGCUUUUGCAGGUGGGCGUGGACAUUUAUUCAUGGCCUUGUCCACCCCAAUCUUCAUCAGUCAUGUGACACAGCGCGAAUCUACUGCGGAAAAAAAACUCCUUCAGAAACUACGAUACUACGACAGCGAAGGCAACCCAACCAUUUCCUACAAGGAGACAGUGUUUAGGAUUUUUAGAAGACGCAAGAACCAUUUCUGGGAUCAGAGAAGAGAAACCACUGAAACUGUAAUCAACAACGAAAACACUGGCGACAACUUAAAUGGCAACAGCAACAACUACAGCAGACGGCCCAACAUGUCCAUCCGAAAGAUCAAAGGAAACUAAUUUUGUUCCACCUCAUGUUCCUACAUGUGUGAAAUGACAAUAAAGCUCCUUGAAUCCUAAUACAGCUACUUGGCAAAAAGGAGA